CAGGGGACACUGGGGGACAUUGGGGGACCCCUAAGUGACACUUGGGGACAAUGGGGGACAUUGGGGACCCAUAAGUGACACUGGGGGACAAUGGGGGACACUGGGGACCCAUAAGUGACAUCGGGGACCCCCAGGGGACAUUGGGGGACCCCUAAGUGACACUGGGGGACAUUGGGGACAAUGGGGGACCCCGCAGGGGACAUUGGGGGACAUUGGGGGAUCCCUAAGUGACACGGGGGGACAUUGGGGACAAUGGGGGACCCCCCAGGGGACAAUGGGGGACAUUGGGGGACCCCUAAGUGACAUGGGGGGACAUUGGGGACCCCCAGGGGACCCCCAGGGGACAUUGGGGGACAUUGGGGACCCCUAAGUGACACUGGGGGGGACACUGGGGGACCCAUAAGUGACACGGGGGGACCCAUAAGUGACACUGGGGACGCCCCAGGGGACAAUGGGGGACAUUGGGGGACCCCUAAGUGACAC
rnacentral:lncRNA from 1 species